GCCUAACACAUGACAAGUCGAACGGAGUUCUUAAGGAAUGCGGCCUCGGCUAAAUGACUUUUGAACUUAGUGGCGGACGGGUGAGUAACACGUGAGCAACCUGCCUUUCAGAGGGGGAUAACGGCUGGAAACGGUCGCUAAUACCGCAUGAAGUGUUCGGAUGGCAUCAUCUGAACAUCAAAGAUUUAUCGCUGAAAGAUGGGCUCGCGUCUGAUUAGAUAGUUGGUGGGGUAACGGCCUACCAAGUCGACGAUCAGUAGCCGGACUGAGAGGUUGAACGGCCACAUUGGGACUGAGAUACGGCCCAGACUCCUACGGGAGGCAGCAGUGGGGAAUAUUGCACAAUGGGGGAAACCCUGAUGCAGCAACGCCGCGUGAAGGAUGACGGUUUUCGGAUUGUAAACUUCUUUUCUUAGUGACGAAGACAGUGACGGUAGCUAAGGAAUAAGCAUCGGCUAACUACGUG
rnacentral:rRNA from 1 species